UACGAAGGGGGCUAGCGUUGUUCGGAUUUACUGGGCGUAAAGCGCACGUAGGCGGAUCGAUCAGUCAGGGGUGAAAUCCCAGAGCUCAACUCUGGAACUGCCUUUGAUACUGUCGAUCUGGAGUAUGGAAGAGGCGAGUGGAAUUCCGAGUGUAGAGGUGAAAUUCGUAGAUAUUCGGAGGAACACCAGUGGCGAAGGCGGCUCACUGGUCCAUUACUGACGCUGAGGUGCGAAAGCGUGGGGAGCAAACAGG
rnacentral:rRNA from 1 species